CAAACUCAUGUUUUAUUAUUUGGCAUUAACAUAUUUCGGUUGAUACAGUAAACAGCUCUAAGCUUUUGUGUGCUUUUUGUUUCUGUCUUGGGCAUGUACCAGCCUUUCCUGUAGUUAUCAAACGGACGCAUGGACUUGUAGCUUUUACAAUUAUAUGUCAAUACACAUAUAAAUCCAUAAGAAGCCCCUAUUUUCUAUUCGAUAAUCUGUUGCGUCCAAAUCAAUAUAUAAUUGUACCUAUUUCCGUGAAGAAGUUUAUAGUCUUAUAUCCCUCAAGAUGUGUUACGGAUGCUAUGGAUGUUAUGGAUGCGGAUGCGGAUCUUGCUGUUCUCCGUGCUACUCGUGCUGUGGAGGUUGCUGUGGUGGUUGCUACGGCGGCUGCUGUGGCGGUUGCUACGGAGGUUGCUGUGGCGGUUGCUAUGGCUGCGGCUACUGUUGACAUCUUCAGAAGGAAAUCUAGGUGCUCUAUCAAUUCUACUAGGAAAGGUG